GACGGGGGAUGCAAGCGUUAUCCGGAAUCACUGGGCGUAAAGCGUCUGUAGGCGGUGAUGCAAGUCACUGGUGCAAAACUAUGGCUCAACCGGAGGAAAGCCAGUGAAACUGCAUGACUAGAGUGUGGGAGAGGUAGAAGGAAUUCCCUGAGUAGCGGUGAAAUGCGUAGAUACACGGAAGAACACCGGAGGCGAAAGCGUUCUACUGGAACACAACUGACACUGAGAGACGAAAGCUAGGGGAGCGAAUGGG
rnacentral:rRNA from 1 species